UACGGAGGGUGCAAGCGUUAUCCGGAUUCACUGGGUUUAAAGGGUGCGUAGGCGGAUAUGUAAGUCCGUGGUGAAAUCUCUGGGCUUAACCCGGAAACUGCCAUGGAUACUAUCUGUCUUGAAUAUUGUGGAGGUAAGCGGAAUAUGUCAUGUAGCGGUGAAAUGCUUAGAUAUACAUAGAACACCAAAUUUGCGAAGGCAGCUUGCUACACAAGUUAU
rnacentral:rRNA from 1 species